AGUGGGACCGGGGGCUCGGGGAGGCCAGGCCCGGGCUGGACGGGAGGUCGGGGACUGGGACUGGGCCGGAGGGAGGCCGCCCUGCCGCCCCCCGCAUCCCGAGCAUCCCUGGAGCUUGUCCCCAGCUCGGAGCAGCACCCUCGGGGCUGGGUGCGGGUGCCGCGUCCGAGCCUCCCCCCCCGGGAACAGGCCCCGAGCGAACGGUAAACCUGAGCGGCUUCCUCCGUGUUAAUUUGUUUAGGUUGUUUUCUUUUAAAUCGAUAAAAGAUUGAGAGCCUCGGUCUGCCGAAGUAAAUAGGUCAAUAUGGAACAGGCUCUAAAUAAGCAGAUUCUUUUUUUUUUCUUUCUUUUUUCUUUUUUUUUUUUUUUUUUUUUUUUAAGUUUCAGAAGAAGAAAAGAGAAGGGAAAAUUCCCUUCGCUGCAUGAUGUCAAACGCUGAUCGUCCCUGGUUUGUGCUUGCCAUGAACCUCAGCGUUAUAAAAGAGGAAGAGGAAAAGGCACACAAACAGGGACAGGGGCUCAGUGCUGUGACUGCCUUGUAAAUAUGGCUCUUGAGCUUGGGAGGUGAUAUUUCACCUCUCUGCAGAGUGUUUCAGUAGCCAAACGUGGCCCACCAGAUUUUUACGAGCUGCUAUUUGGAGGCCGUUUCCCCCUCUGAGCCUGGCCUGGCCUGGCACGGCCAUCAGAGAGGGAGACAACGGCCUCAAAACAAUUGUUUUGCUAUAGCGGGGAAGGGAAUAGAUCCCUCUUCCAGCGGUUAUUGCCCAGCUGUCCUGGAAAUGCUCCUACUGCUGAGGCAGGGAGAGGCUUCCAGUGCUGGAGCAAGAUGCCUUCCAUCAAAGCAAUUGUAUCCUGCCUAACCCUCUUCCUAACACGAAGGAAAAUACCACAGUGCAUGGAAAUACACACAGGCAAAUAAAUCCUCCCCUGGAAGCUCUCCUGGCCAAUACGCAUAGCACGACCGGCCAUAAAAGUUACUCUAGGCAGGGAAUAAGGGUGUGGAGAGACCCACAGACCUGCACCUCCCAUCACAAAAAUGAGUGUGAGUAUGUGUGUGUAUACAUAGUUUUCUGGGGGGCUGUGUGUGCUUGGAGGGGAGGGAUGGAUAGUUUAGCAGUGAAGCAGCAGCUUGCUUACAGAAAAAAACUUAAGCACAUGCAAGGCUUCUAAGCAAGACCUCUCCUAACUGGACAUAGCCUGCUUGCUGUUGAACACGUUUUCUCUUCCCAGAGAUUAAAUUUGGUGACCCUAGACAAAUAAAUAAAUAAACAAACAAAUAAAUAAAUCUCAGUCCAUAUUUCCAUUGUAGCAGCCGCACUGUGAUGUCUGUAAGUUUAACCAACAAGAGCCGCAGCAAACCCAUUCCUGUUUCCCAGCUCGUAAAAUGGAUAUGAUGGAAGGAGAUAGUGAGACACCAGCGAAGCUGCAAGUGCAGGACGUCUGAGAGGGAUGGUGCAGCAGGGAGAGGUGCCUGGAUGCCACGGCAUAGGUUAGAACAGGUUGAGGGUAGCAAAUCUAUACGUGCUUUCAGUGUUUUCCAGGGUGGAAAUCGUAGAUUAAAGCUAAAAAACCAACUCUCUCGGUUUGUCACUUGGAAGUCAAAGCCAUUUCCUUCCAGGUUCUCACUCCUGUGAGUCUGAGCUCAUGUAACGUUAAGAAAAAUCUAGUAAUAAACCCCAAAAUAUAAAAUUCGUAUUGUAUAUUUAAAGGGAACCUCUUACUUUAUAUAACUCAGGACACAUUGUCUCUUCUCAGAGAGAAUGGGGGUGAAAUCCUACACAUUACUUUAAAAAAAAAAAAAAAAAAAGAAAAGAAAACACGUUUUAAAAUUACAUCCAUGUCAGCUUUAAAGAAAAUUAUUGCUGAUGUCUUUUUGAGCUUGGAAAUAUAACUGUAGGAUGCAGCUUUCCCCUCCCCCUCUGCUCCUCCACCCCCUCCCUUCUCAACCAAAAAAAAAAAAAAAAAAAAAGAGAAAAAAAAAAAAAAAGCAACAGAAUAUAUAAAGCUCCUCUGAUUAACAGUUUAGGUGCAGAACCCUAUUUAUAGGGUACACGUUCUCCUGUGCUGCCUCGGUCCUCCAGCCCGUAGCGGUACAUUAUUGAUGCAGCUGCAAGUGCUCAAAGCUUAAACAAUAUUUUUUCCAAAAGCCCCAGCAGCCCGCCCGGGAGGAAGGUGGGGACGGGCUGGCGAUGGAGUCCUGAAUGUUACUCCUCCAGUUUCAAGGACAUCUUGCUGAUGAGGAUUUGGUUAAUGGAGGAGAACUUAUGUCCUAGCGGUGACGUCAUUGGGUCCCAAUGUAAUCCUCUUGUGCUGAACCCAAUCAGCAGAUGUGCUGAGAGCCGGGAUGCGGAGAAGAAGCUCUAAUCCCUUAGACUGGAUGAGAUCAGCUGAAACAGCCAGGACUAGACCCCAAACCCCUCUGCUAGGAAGAUCAAGAGAAAAGGGAUAAAUUGAGAGAGACGCCUCAUAACCCCUUUAAAGAGCUUUGGAGAAGAGAAGAGAAAGAUGGGUGGUGCACCAAGUUCAUCUUGCUUUUAAAGCCUAGCGGGAGCCUGGUUUUCACUCUGAUGAGGUCCUUCUGCAUUGUUCCAGGGCAGGAGGAGAAAAGAGAAAAAAAAAAAAAAAAAAAAAAAGGAGAGAGAGAGAAAAGGAAAAAAAAAAAAAAAAGAGAGAGGAAAAAAAAGUCUGAAAUUCAAAGAUAAUGAGAGACUAGGCGCCUUUCUUAUUCAUCUCCAGCUUGCCUACACAAAAACAAGCGUCCUGAGCCACGGGAGGGCGUUUGCACUGGAUCUGAGCGAGGAGCGGAGUUUGUGCCGCCGGAGCCGCCGGGCGCCGCGUCCACGACCCCGCUCGCCGCCUGCCCUCCCUGCUCCGAGCGGGGACAGCCCGAGCCCCUCUCUGCGUGUUCACAGCGGACCUUGAUUUAAUGUCCAUACAAUUAAGGCACGCGGUGAAUGCCAAGAGAGGAGCCUCACAGCUUCAUUUUCAUGGAAAUUGGGGACAUAAACCCUCUAAUUACACUUAACAACAGCCACGGAGCGAUCUAUGGAGCAUCCUCGGCCUUUUGACAAAUAGGAGUAACAAUGCGCCAGCGCCCGGCGGGGCAGCUGUCUCCUCGCAUUAACGGGGGCACGGGGGGAGGCGGGGGGAGGCCCCGCUCCGGCCCCGCCGGGGCUUGCGGAGGCUCCCGGCGUACAAAGGGCAGGAGGAGAGGCAGGACAAUGCGGGUAGAGCUGGGGGGGCCGCGAGCAGGGAGCGCUCCGAGGAGCGGGGCGUGGGUGGGGGGGGACAAGUGGCCCGUCGCUGCAGAGCGAGGGACCCCCCUCCCACGCAAAGGGACACCCCCGCCUUCCCAGCCUCCACAACGUCUUUCAAAGCUCUCCGAAAAAAAAUACCUCUUUGGAGGUUUUUUGGGAGGCGGGUGCUUUUUGCUCUAUUUUUUUUUUUCACUUGCUAUUUUUUGGUUUUAUUUUUGCCGUUGCCCCUGCAAUGCUCCUCCCUCGUGUGGGGGCUCGGCCGUGCAGCCCCUGCUGCUCUGCAGAGCCACGACACAGGUCCAGGGUGCUGUCCUGCCCAUCUGACUGCCCUCGUAGCCGCUUUGCAACUUAACUGUUCACAGAACUAAAUUAUGAGGCUGCUUUUUUUCCAAAAGCAGGCCUGGCAAGGUGAGGGGCUGCAGCACUGCAGCCUCCCCAGUGCCACCUCCAGCCCAUCACCGCAGCCUGCAAGGUGGCACACAUCCCUUUUUGCAGUCUCCAGAGAGACUGCAGUAGCCCACAUCGGUCCUUAGGCUAGGCUUUAGACCUCAAUAAAUCUCUGUUGUAAGA